rnacentral:rRNA from 1 species
GACGAACGCUGGCGGCGUGCUUAACACAUGCAAGUCGAACGCUGAAGCUCAGCUUUUGUUGGGUGGAUGAGUGGCGAACGGGUGAGUAACACGUGAGUAACCUGCCCCCUUCUUUGGGAUAACGCCCGGAAACGGGUGCUAAUACUGGAUAUUCACUGGUCUUCGCAUGGGGGUUGGUGGAAAGGGUUUUUCUGGUGGGGGAUGGGCUCGCGGCCUAUCAGCUUGUUGGCGGGGUGAUGGCCUACCAAGGCUUUGACGGGUAGCCGGCCUGAGAGGGUGACCGGUCACAUUGGGACUGAGAUACGGCCCAGACUCCUACGGGAGGCAGCAGUGGGGAAUAUGGCACAAUGGGCGCAAGCCUGAUGCAGCGACGCCGCGUGAGGGAUGGAGGCCUUCGGGUUGUGAACCUCUUUCGCUCAUGGUCAAGCCGCAACAAUGGUUGUGGUGAGGGUAGUGGGUAAAGAAGCGCCGGCUAACUACGUG